rnacentral:rRNA from 1 species
AUGGAGGCUUGUGUCGUCUCUUGCGACAACAAAGGAGAAGAGUGUGCCAUGAUAGUGGAUAGCAACGUGGAGGAUGAAGCGAAUGCAAUGUUAUUUUCUCUCCUCAUGCUCCUGAUCUUAAGGUCCAUAAAGUCGCUAAUUGUAGCGGGCUUGCUGAUCUUCUCCGAGUCAACAUCCUUUUCGCCUGUUAGCAUGCUGACGACAGUUGACAUAGUGGGUCGAUGUCUUGUGACAUCUUGUGUACAGAGAAGUCCAACUUUCAGGAACCUGCAGGCUUGUUCAAUAUCCAUAUCAUCACCCGCAGAACUGUCUAUGAUUUUCGCCAAAUCUCCCUGCUCAUAA